rnacentral:lncRNA from 10 species
GGCCACGUGUAUCUGUAGUGCUGAGGACUCCUUGGGCCUCUGAAGUCACAGAGAGAACCCUGCAGGAGAACGGAAGGCUCCCUUGAUGGAACUUAGACAGCAAGGCCAGAUGCACAUCCCUGGAAGGACAUCCAUGUUCCGAGAAGAACAGAUAAUCCCUGUAUUUCAAGACCUCUGUGCACUUAUUUAUGAACCUGCCCUGCUCCCACAGAACACAGCAAUUCCUCAGGCUAAGCUGCCGGUUCUUAAAUCCAUCCUGCUAAGUUAAUGUUGGGUAGAAAGAGAUACAGAGGGGCUGUUGAAUUUCCCACAUACCCUCCUUCCACCAAGUUGGAACAUCCUUGGAAAUUGGAAGAGCACAAGAGGAGAUCCAGGGCAAGGCCAUUGGGAUAUUCUGAAACUUGAAUAUUUUGUUUUGUGCAGAGAUAAAGACCUUUUCCAUGCACCCUCAUACACAGAAACCAAUUUUCUUUUUUAUACUCAAUCAUUUCUAGCGCAUGGCCUGGUUAGAGGCUGGUUUUUUCUCUUUUCCUUUGGUCCUUCAAAGGCUUGUAGUUUUGGCUAGUCCUUGUUCUUUGGAAAUACACAGUGCUGACCAGACAGCCUCCCCCUGUCCCCUCUAUGACCUCGCCCUCCACAAAUGGGAAAACCAGACUACUUGGGAGCACCGCCUGUGAAAUACCAACCUGAAGACACCGUUCAUUCAGGCAACGCACAAAACAGAAAAUGAAGGUGGAACAAGCACAGAUGUUCUUCAACUGUUUUUGUCUACACUCUUUCUCUUUUCCUCUACCAUGCUGAAGGCUGAAAGACAGGAAGAUGGUGCCAUCAGCAAAUAUUAUUCUUAAUUGAAAACUUGAAAUGUGUAUGUUUCUUACUAAUUUUUAAAAAUGUAUUCCUUGCCAGGGCAGGCAAGGUGGCUCACGCCUGUAAUCCCAGCACUUCAGGAGGCUGAGGUGGGCGGAUCACCUGAGGUCAGGAGUUUGAGACCAGCCUGAUGAAACCCUGUCUCUACUAAAAAUACAAGAAUUAGCCGGGCGUGGUGGCGCAUGCCUGUAGUAUCAGCUACUCAAGAGGCUGAGGUGAGAUUAUCGCUUGAACCCAGGAAACGGAGGUUGUAGUGAGCGGAGAUCGCGCCACUGCACUCCAGCCUGAGUGACAGAGUGAGAAUCCAUCUCAAAAAAAACAAAAAACAAAAUUGCUUGCUAAAGAAGUGGUCUCCUGAGGUCUUAAGACAUUCCUGACAGUGUCUUGAGUGGGUGGGAGAGAGGCUGCUGUCAUUGCGCUGUGGAAUUUCACAGAUGAGAACCACGCCUAGCCAAAAUCACUUUUCCUGUUUGCCUCAGUGACACAGCUGCAGGGACCCUCGUGGAUGUUGUAUUAAAUAAAUUUGACCUUUGCUCUUUGCAGAUCUGUGAAAUGUUGUCUUCUGAGGGGCCACAUGCAUCUAUAGUGCUGAGGACUCCUUGGGCCUCUGAAGUCACAGAGAGAACCGAGCAGGUCUAUGUUUUUGUUUUGUUGUUUUGAGACGGAGAUUCGCUCUUGUUGCCCGGGCUGGACUGCAGCGGCGCAACCUCUGCUCACUGCAACCUCCGCCUCCUGGGUUCAAGCAGUUCUCCUGUCUCAGCCUCCCGAGUAGCUGGGAUUACAGGCACAUGUCACCACGCCUGGCUAAUUUUUGUAUUUUUAGUAGAGAUGGGGUUUCACCACGUUGGCCAGGCUGAUCUCGAAUGCCUGACCUUUGGUGAUCUGCCCGCCUUGUCCUCAUGUGUGCUCCACAGGCCUUUGGGUUGGGAUUGCAGGCGUGAGCCACCAUGCCCAGCCUAGACUCUUUUGACAAUAUGAUGAAAGCUGUUGGUUCCUUUCCCCAACACACACACACCGAGUUGUAUCACGAAAAUGUCAUACAAUUUCCAGGUUUUCUGAGUGGUGGGCUCAGAUUGAGGUCAAAGGAUCAGACGACCUCUAACGACCUUCAUGUCUCUGUUGAUGAUCUGGGGACAGCCAGAUCCCCUGUGUCCAGGGAGUUCCUUAGUCCCUUGCCACCACCAGAGAAGGGCAAUUGCCACGGGAGCUGCAAAGACCCUAUUCCUACUCCUGGUGCCUUACUUAUGCAGCACGACUGAAUUUUUUGUUUUGUUUUGUUUUGUUGAGACAGGGGCUUGCUCUGUUGCCCAGGCUGGAGUGCAGUGGCACAACAAUGGCUCACCGCAGCCUCGAACCCCUGGGCUCAAGCGAUCCUCCCAUCUCAGCUUCCUGGGUAGCUGGGACCAGAGGCGUGAGCCGCCAUAGCUGGCUAAUUUUUAAUUUUUUUUUUGCAGAGAUGAGGUUUCACCAUGGUGCCCAGGCUGGUCUCGAACUUCUGGGCUCAAGUGAUCCUCCCUCCUUGGCCUCGCAAAGUGCUGGGAUUGCAGGCAUGAGCCACCGCCCCCGGCCUGUGGAGCACACAUGAGUUUAAAAUUACUUUCCCUUCUGCCUAUAUUUCCGAGGAGGAAACUUCAUGCGCAGGGAUCUUUCUUAGUGGAUUUAAUGGCUAAAAGGUCUGUCUGAAUCCAGGACGCUGGCUUUAGCCUUCCUCGGCAGCUGCCGUAACCCCGGUGUCUAAACCUGAAGCAUCCCAGGAGCACCCACUCCAGGAGUUUUCUCGGCCGCGGAACUCAUUAGUUAGAGCGCCCUCUUGUGUUCUCAUGUGGUAAUCGGUCACUGAAGGACUUAAAAUGGUCCUUAGCCAACACACAGUAAAACUUUUCCCUCUUCUGACCCCAAGAGGUCAGCCACCCAUUUCAUGAGCAUAUACUGGUCGCCCCAUCAGCGUUCUCUGAUUGGCUAACUGAACCCACUCCCCGACCUAGACUCAAGACAGGCGAAGUGACGCUUAGGUCAACAUUCACUCACUAAAGCAACGACUGUCGGGCGAUUUUGUCUCCCGCUGGUUUUGGAAUGGUGUCUGGAGACAUUUUUGGUUGUCACAGCUGGGUGGGUGUGCUCCCGGCAUCUGGUGGGUAGAAACCAAGCAUGCUCCUAAACAUCCUACAGGCACAGAACCGUCUCCCACGACCAAGCAUGAUCAAGUCCCAAAUGCCAAUAAUGGCCAGGUUGAGAAACUCUGCACAGAAGCAUCCAGUUAUUUGUCUGUUUGCUCAACAAGCUUGUGCUCAUCAUGCUCUGUGUUCCUGACGCUGUGCUGGGUGUUGGCGGUGGGAAGAUUACAAGAGUCACAUGGCAGCUGUCCUCCUGGAAGGUACAACCCAGUAGAGAUGCAGACUAACAGAGAGCCAAUUACAAAGCAGUGUGACAAGCGUCAUGGUGGAAAAUUAAAAGCUCAAACAAGGGCACAUGGGAGGGGCUUCCAACACAGACUUUGGGGGAUCCAGGAAGGUCUCUGAAAGGUACACACCAAGAACUCUCCCCAGCACAGCUGUUUUUAAGACUCUCCACCAGCGUCAUUGGCGUGUUGGGAAGAAACCCUCUGCCACAGAGGCCAGCUUCAGCCUUUGCCUAACACCGCAAGGGCAAAUGGAAAGGUAAACGGGAAGGAGAUGUCUCCCCAGCAGGCUAUUUGAGGACAGUCUUCCCUGCAGAAGAUCUCAACCUGGGGUCCACAGAGUGGAAAUGUUAGAGUAGGGAGCUAGGCAAACAUGAGCAGGACAGGUGAGGGCCCCCACAGGAAUGUCAGGCUACCAUCAGGUGAUGGUCAGGUGGUUGUUAAACUGUCUCUGUAAAAUAAUAAUUGGUUGCAGCCAGCUCCAAGCAAGGACAGUCUCUCAAUAGAUACAAAACACCCUGAUCUGGUGAUCAGCCGCUUCCCGAUAAGAUCUCAGGAGCUGGGCAAGCAGCCUGGAGCAUGCGCACCAAGAGGCAAAAUGGCGGAAUUUAACCAGUAUAUGACCUACCUUCCUCUGGGAACGCACGACUGGUAAGGGGAAAAAUGCCUCAAGUGAGCAUGCGCGCAACUUCAGUAAUCACACUGUGCAUGCGACCCCUUCCAAGUGCUGGCAGGUCACCACAUACGCGGACAGCCUGCUGCAAGGGAAGAAUCAGGGGAGAUGAGACGUAAAUCCCAGAACUAUGCCAAAUACAUAAAACCCCAAGUUAAGGGUCAGGCAGGGCACUUAGAUCUCUCAAGUUGCCUGCCUGACCCAAGUGUAGUGUACUUCCUUUUGUUCCUGCUCUAAAACUUUUUAAUAAACUCUCACUCCUGCUCUAAAACUUGCCUUGGUCUCUCCCUGUGCCUUAAAACCACUUAAAACCACCUCUGCCCCUCAGCUGAGUUCUGUCUUUGAGAAGGCAAGCAUCAAGUUUGCUGCAGACCCAUUGGAUUCACCACUGGUAACAGAAGUUGGGGUAAGGCGUGGGGCCUGAGAAUUCUCUAAGAGUAGGUGCAGCCGGGCGCGGUGGCUCACGCCUGUAACCCCAGCACUUUGAGAGGCUGAGGUGGGUGGAUCAGCUGAGGUCAGGAGUUCGAGACCAGCCUCAAUAUGGGGAAACCCCAUCUCUACUAAAAAUACAAAAUCAGCCGGGCGUAGUGGUGCA